UCCCUGGUGGUCUAGGGAUUAAGACUCUGCGUUUCCACUGCAGGGGGCACAGGUUCAAUCCCUGGUUAGGGAA
rnacentral:tRNA from 1 species